CCUUCACGGGAGGUUUUCAAAAGGAGGCUGGAUAGCCACCUGUCUUGGGUGGUUUAGACAUACCAAAUCUUGCAUCUUGGGAGGGGGUUAAACUAGAUGACCCCUCCAGUCCCUUCUACCCUAUGUUUCUUUGAUUCUCAUCUAAAAUUUAUGCUGACCAAGCUACAUUGCAGCAAGAUAGGAUUAAGCCCUGGCAUAAACACCACUAUUCUUCCAUCCACCUAGCUACUGUUUGUUGAUGGGGUGGAUUUACUACAGCAAUGGAAAAACCCUUUCUGUCGCUGUAGCAAGUGUCUAUGGGCUGGUCUGCAAGGGAAAGCUACAUCAGUUUAGCUACAUCUCUGAGGGGUGUGAAAAAUCCACAUCCCUGAGAGUUGCAUGUAAGCAGUGCUAGGUCGAAGGAAGAAUUCUUCAAUCAACUUAGUUACAACCCUUAGUUAUCCUCCCACAGUGAUGCAAGAAUCCCUCCAGAUACUGCAAUAAUGCUACAGCAAUGCAGCUGUGCCACUGUAGAAUUUUAAAUGUAGACUUAGCCUACACUACAGUGGCAUAGCUGCAGCUGUGCCCUGAGUCACUGAGCGUGAAUCUUGCCCCUACUCAAGCCAAUGACAAAACUCUCAUUGACUUUGAUAGGGCCAGGAUUUCAUAGGUAUCAUAGGUAUUUCUUGUAACACCGGUAAAGAUAUUUCAGAUAGAAGUGUGACUGGUACGUUAACAGUGUCCCAUUAACACCAGGAGAAUCUACAUUUGGUGUUAUACAAAGUUGUUUUUAUUUAUUAUAUGUACUGCAGUAACAUCCUACAACUCCAAGGAGCAGGGAGCCUUUGUGCUAGGUGGACAUAUGUGUAGGAAAGCAUUACCUGCUCAUAACAGCAUACAGUCCUAUUUAAGACAAGAUGUAACAAGUGAGAGUAACAAGCAACAAAGGAUGGUUGAAGAGAUGACAGGGCUAACAGUAAUAAGAUUGUGCAGUUAAAUAAGCUAGCGAAUGCACACCACUUGAUGACUUCAACAAGAAGCUUAAACAAAAGAAAAAACUACCAAAGAAACUAGAAUGGAUAAAAAUGGAAAAAGAUCUUGACAUAAUAGGCACAUCGGAAACACGGCUGAACGUCAAAAGUUAAGGUCAAGGCAGUGGACAUUUCUGAUGUGCAGACAUUGACACAUCUAGCAAUAUCAAAGCAAGGUGGAGUCAAAUAUUUACAGUAUAUGGAAGGAACUAAUAAUUUUCAAAAAGGAGAG